UUAACCCCACAAUUACACCGCAAUUAGAGCUUAAUUAGGAUAUUUAUAGAAUUAUUACUCUCUCAGCUAAGCUAUGGCUAUCGGUGGCUUGGCCUCGGCGAGCUCGGACAUGAACAUAUGGAAGCUUCUCACCAUCCCCCUCCGAGAAAAUUUAAUUCACGAUUAAGACUUUCAUUUUCUGCAAUGUGGGAAGAACCCUAGUAGGUGGGAACUGGGAAGUGGGAAGAUGGAAUCCGGUUUUGAAAUUACCUUUUUCUCCCUCUCCUUUCGUUUGGCGGAUUUCUGAUUGACAGUUGGAUUGGAAACAGCAGGGGAUGGGGAUGAAUUCGGGUUUGAGUCCGAAUCUGCGGGCUCCGACUUCACGAAAUGCGGCUUGGAGCACGAAUUCGACGGAAUUGAUUCCGUCUCCGGCGAGUUCCCAGCGAAGACGGAGAAUUUCGAGGCUCGGUCAACCAAAGCCGUGUCCGAAGGGAAAAUUGGCGGCGGAAGAAAACCCUGGUGAUAGUUCCUCUGAGGUUCAAUUUCAGGAAGCUUCGUCGCCGGCGAACCUUCCGCUUCCGACGAGUGAACCAAGAGCUCCACCGCCUGCUUCGCUGGGAGCUCGAGUAGAGCAGUGAACGAACUUCCAGCUUCCUCAGAUACUACUACAGGCAUUAAACCCUGGAAACCCUCGUCGCCAAACUGUGGAACCUCAGUUCCGAUAUCUCCGGGUUUCGCUCCGCAAUUCACGGAUCUAGUUUGACCCAAUUCCAUUGACUCCAUUCCUAUUCGUAAUCAACUCAACCCCGAAUCAAAAACCACUCCCCAGUCCCCAGUCCCCAGUUCACAACACAAAUAUUUCAAAGGCCUAAAUUCAGCUCACCCCGGAGAAUUAUCUAUUUAUCUCAAACUGAAAAGAACCCAGUUAAAUACAAACAGAGUUCUUUCACUUCUCGAAGCUAUCAAACACUCAAGAACUUAAGAGCACUAAAAUGCAGCAAUAUGAUGGUGAACCACAGGCGAAAGAGCUGGAAAAGAGGAAGAAAGAAAGCAGAGUCAAUAAAAAAACGAGAGUGAAGCUUCUAAACUGUUUUGAGCAGAGUUGAUUCUCAUACGAAGGUUGAAUGGCAGAUAGAUAGUCAGGUAAGCGCAACGUUUCUCUAUGCGGUCUGAAAAGGCUGAGCUCUUUUUGCGUAUUAGUUAGAGAGGGUGGGGGAGAAGGUAACAUAUAUAUAUAUAUAUAAAGUACGUAUAAAGCAACGUUUGCUUUGGGGGCCGUUAUCUGUGCUGCAAGAAAGAGAGAGAGAGAGAGAUGAAGAAGAAGGAGAAGCGUAGGAAGAUAGGAGUGUCCUGAAACGGGUGGGCGUUACAGUGGGGACCGGAUACGAACUCAACCCGACACUGUUUCUAUCGCAGUAGAUGACCUGUCAUUUUCUUGCAUUUAUAUUUAUGUUUUUCGAUAGAAAUGAUCUAUUUUGAUCAUUUAACUAUUUAUUAGUAGUUGUGAUUCUCUCGUCACCCAAAAAUGAAGAGGUUCAUGUUUGUUA